CCUAACUACUCCCUCGCAGAUUCUCCACCUCUCCCGAUUGUGUAGUCCAUACCCCCCAUCUCUCCUAAGCCGGCGCCUGCACGUUUUCCUCUCCCAUCCGUCCCUCUCUCACCUCCCCUGCCUCUCUCCAACGAUCUCUCGACUGUCGCCGCAGCGCCGGCGCGCGCCUACCAUAGAUCCGGUGGCCUUGAGCAGUUGAGCUCCACCAUCACCAACAGGGGCGGCAAUGACGGAGGGCUGACGGGAUCUGGUGGCCUGAGCAUAAUGGUAUCCAUCAGUAGAGCUCGGCCACCAGAUCCGGUGUAGGCUCAUCUCAGGCCGACAGCCACGCAGAUUCGGUUGUACGAACUGCUCGCAGCUCACACGGUAGCUGACCUCGAGCUUGACUAGUGAGCGGAGUUGGACUGCGCGCAGAGUCGGCACCCCUGCAUCGACGACUUGGACGACCAUCGUUGUUGAGCUCCUGCAGACUCCAUCUUCCUCUGUGUUGAGCUAGACAAUGUCGACUGCACGCCUGCCAACAGUGGCCUCAUCGACGGCGCCAUCAUGGUAACUGAUCACAAAGUAUGGUGAAAUUCUAGGAAGUUGAUGUCUUUUGAAGAAGCGUAUUUCGGAAGCUUAGUCUGAAGACUUCACAAUCUUAUUUUGUUUCUCCAGAUAAUAUAUACUAUGUAACUAGAAACUAGCUAUAUCCUCAUUUACUUGUUCCAUUGUCGCAGAAUUUCAAUGUAUUAAUGCAUUUUUCCAAUUUCUUUGUGUUAUCUGUUGAAUUUUAAAUAAUUAUCUCAAUUCUAUAGGAUCUUGAAACAAGUCUUGGAGGAGUGUGAACUAAAAAAGUGAUAUCACAGAAAUUAGCAUUAGGU